ACGCUCGACACCUACGGGAGGCAGCAGUAGGGAAUUUUCGUCAAUGGGGGGAACCCUGAACGAGCAAUGCCGCGUGAGUGAAGAAGGUCUUCGGAUCGUAAAGCUCUGUUGUAAGAGAAAAACGGUCUCCAUAGGGAAUGAUGGANAAGUGAUGGUAUCUUACCAGAAAGCCACGGCUAACUACGUGCCACAGCCGCGGUAAUCUGAGCGGGCUGGCAAGGC
rnacentral:rRNA from 1 species